UAGUGCACAUUCGCAUUUUAUAGAACGUUUUUUGACUGGCAACUCUCCUCAAUUUUUAUUAACCUAAACGUAAACACAUUUAUUACAUGGGACGUUUUGUACUAUUGGCAAAUAGACACAUCAUUUUAAGAUACCUUCUUAGCGCUGACAGAUUCGAUGAAAUAGCGUGAUUGGCGAGAUGUUAACAGUGCUUGAACCACCCGAGCUAAUUUCUAAAACUCUUGGCACUGAAAACCUUCAUCUCUAGCGAGUGUAAUUGAUUAUUUCAAAGCGAUAUUUGCCAACCUGUUCAAAUUGCUGCUAAUCUUAUCAGAAGUACUCGUAAAUCGCUAAGUAGCCUGAGUUUAUCUAAAACAUGGUGAGAAAAUCUUCUCAGUUGUAGGGGACGAAAGAAAUGCGAGAUAAACGCUGUUUGCUUUUAUAGUUUCUUCUAUGUCAAUGUACAAAUCUAUUUUUGUGUGGAAUUAAUCCAGAAAUAGACGAAAAAUGCCAGUAGGUCAAUAUAGCAAAUGAUGAGCUAAAGAAAAGUCUAAGAAGUGGGACACCGCGAAUGCAGCAAUAUUUCAUCUAGAUCUGCUUUGGCGAAGAAUUGAGCAAAAUUAAGUUUAUUUUUCAUCAUGGCGUGGGUUCAAUGGAAAAAUGUAGAAGUGACACCACAAAUAGCAACAAUGACAAAUUAACGCUUACACAAAUAAAUGAUAAGUUUCUUGGAGCAAAUUUUUCUACUUUGGGAUAUAAAAGUAUUUGUUUGGUGAAAUCUUUAGUUUGCGUGGAAUUCACAUUCAUUUGAGGGACUCGAAAACGUGGAUGCUGAAGCGGACGUUCAAUCUGAUAGAAUAAACUUCGUAGGCAGACAAACUGCCUACGUGUGAUUUUUGGAAGUUUCCAAUGAAUGAAGAUAUUAGAAGCUUUUCUGUUCUCG